rnacentral:rRNA from 1 species
UGAAAUCUGGCGCAAGCCCGAGUUGUAAUUUGUAGAGGAUGCUUCUGGGCAGCGGCCGGUCUAAGUUCCUUGGAACAGGACGUCAUAGAGGGUGAGAAUCCCGUAUGCGACCGGCUUGCACCCGUCACGUAGCUCCUUCGACGAGUCGAGUUGUUUGGGAAUGCAGCUCUAAAUGGGAGGUAAAUUUCUUCUAAGGCUAAAUACCGGCCAGAGACCGAUAGCGCACAAGUAGAGUGAUCGAAAGAUGAAAAGCACUUUGGAAAGAGAGUUAAAAAGCACGUGAAAUUGUUGAAAGGGAAGCUCACGCAACCAGACUUGUCGGCGGUGUUCCGCCGGUCUUCUGACCGGUCUACUCGCCGCCGGCAGGCCAGCAUCACUUGGGAGCGCCGGAUAAAGGCGUGCGGAAUGUAGCCCCUCGGGGCAUUAUAGCCGCGCGCACAAUACGGCGCCUCCCGAGUGAGGUCCGCGCUUCGGCUAGGAUGCUGGCGUAAUGGUUGCUUGAGGCCCGUCUUGA